AUAGAAUUUUAGAAUCGUCAGAUUCGUGCCAAGUGGCAACAUUCAGAGAAGAGAGAAAAGAUGCUCAGUACGAAAAAGAGGGAUGAGGGUCUCCUCCACCAGCGGUGGCAUUGCACCGCCCGAGGCGAUGCCAGCACACUGCUUGAGGUGGUAAUGCCCCAGCUAGCACAUUGCAGGCACAUAGGCCUCUUGUCGUGCAAGAAAGGAUCGCUGGGCACCACGCGCAGGUCUACUAUGCGAACGCACAGGCCUACUAUGGGCAAGCCCUAGGCACAUAAGGCCUCUCCUCGUAGGCCAGCUGCGCAGAUGGCACGUGCAUAGUGUGCGGUGCUUGUCCUUGCGAGAGGUGAUGCACAGACAACUCACCUCCGCGUGACAAGACACGCGCAGGUCCUAACCUCGCGUCGUGUGCACGGAUGGGACGUGCGCGUUGUGCACACGUCCUGCAGUUGCUUUGCUCGCAUGCAUGUGCGCACAGUGCCCAACACCUAUACAGGCAAAUCUUCUUCCUUGUAGGAUUUUUCU
rnacentral:lncRNA from 1 species